GCCGAAGUAGUCUAAUGGUAAAACAUUACUUUCGUAAAGUAACAUAGUGAGUUCGAUUCUCACCUUCGGUU
rfam:Candidatus Daviesbacteria bacterium RIFCSPLOWO2_02_FTLL_36_7 rifcsplowo2_02_scaffold_4033, whole genome shotgun sequence.